rnacentral:rRNA from 1 species
AACGAACGCUGGCGGCAUGCCUAACACAUGCAAGUCGAACGAGACCUUCGGGUCUAGUGGCGCACGGGUGCGUAACGCGUGGGAACCUGCCCUUAGGUUCGGAAUAACUCCCCGAAAGGGGUGCUAAUACCGGAUAAUGUCUUCGGACCAAAGAUUUAUCGCCUUUGGAUGGGCCCGCGUUGGAUUAGCUAGUUGGUAGGGUAAAAGCCUACCAAGGCGACGAUCCAUAGCUGGUCUGAGAGGAUGAUCAGCCACACUGGGACUGAGACACGGCCCAGACUCCUACGGGAGGCAGCAGUGGGGAAUAUUGGACAAUGGGCGGAAGCCUGAUCCAGCAAUGCCGCGUGAGUGAUGAAGGCCUGAGGGUUGUAAAGCUCUUUUACCCGGGAUGAUAAUGACAGUACCGGGAGAAUAAGCUCCGGCUAACUCCG